rnacentral:rRNA from 1 species
AGUGAACGCUGGCGGCGUGCCUAACACAUGCAAGUCGAGCGAAGUGGCAGCUGUAGCAAUACAGUAUGUGCUUAGCGGCAGACGGGUGAGUAACACGUAGACAAUUUUCCUCUUAGAGGGGGAUAGCUAGCCGAAAGGUUAGGUAAUACCCCGUACGAUCAAAAGCUGGCAUCGGCUUUUGAUGAAACAUCCGCAAGGAUGGCUGAGAGACAAGUCUGCGGCCUAUCAGCUAGUUGGUGAGGUAACGGCUCACCAAGGCUACGACGGGUAACCGGCCUGAAAGGGCGAUCGGUCACACUGACACUGAGACACGGGUCAAACACCUACGGGUGGCAGCAGUGAGGAAUCUUGGGCAAUGGGGGCAACCCUGAUCCAGCGACGCCGCGUGGAGGACGAAGGUCUUCGGAUUGUAAACUCCUUUUGUUCGGGACUAAGAAAUCUGUAGAAAUACGGAGAGUGACUGUACCGGAUGAAUAAGCCACGGCUAACUUCGUGCCAGCAGCCGCGGUAAUACGAAGGUGGCAAGCGUUACUCGGAAUUACUAGGCGUAAAGGGCAGGUAGGUGGUCCGGUAAGUCUGUUGUGUAAGCUCCCGGCUUAACUGGGAAAGGUCAACGGAAACUGCCGGGCUUGAGUAUAGGAAAGGGUACUGGAAUUCCCGGUGUAGCGGUGAAAUGCGCAAAGAUCGGGAGGAACACCAAUGGCGAAAGCAGGUACCUGGACUAUUACUGACACUCAGCUGCGAAAGCUAGGGGAGCAAACAGGAUUAGAUACCCUGGUAGUCCUAGCUGUAAACGAUGCACAUUAG